rnacentral:rRNA from 1 species
UACGGGGGGAGCAAGCGUUGUUCGGAUUUACUGGGCGUAAAGGGCGCGUAGGCGGCGCAACAAGUCACUUGUGAAAUCUCCGGGCUUAACCCGGAGCGGCCAAGUGAUACUGUCGUGCUAGAGUGCGGAAGGGGCUACUGGAAUUCUCGGUGUAGCGGUGAAAUGCGUAGAUAUCAGGAGGAACACCGGUGGCGAAGGCGGGUCUCUGGGCAAUAACUGACGCUGAGGAGCGAAAGCGUGGGGAGCGAACAGG